rnacentral:rRNA from 1 species
GGGUUGUGAGGUUAAGCGACUAAGCGUACACGGUGGAUGCCCUGGCAGUCAGAGGCGAUGAAGGACGUGCUAAUCUGCGAUAAGCGUCGGUAAGGUGAUAUGAACCGUUAUAACCGGCGAUUUCCGAAUGGGGAAACCCAGUGUGAUUCGUCACACUAUCAUUAACUGAAUCCAUAGGUUAAUGAGGCGAACCGGGGGAACUGAAACAUCUAAGUACCCCGAGGAAAAGAAAUCAACCGAGAUUCCCCCAGUAGCGGCGAGCGAACGGGGAGCAGCCCAGAGCCUGAAUCAGUGUGUGUGUUAGUGGAAGCGUCUGGAAAGGCGCGCGAUACAGGGUGACAGCCCCGUACACAAAAAUGCACAUGCUGUGAGCUCGAUGAGUAGGGCGGGACACGUGGUAUCCUGUCUGAAUAUGGGGGGACCAUCCUCCAAGGCUAAAUACUCCUGACUGACCGAUAGUGAACCAGUACCGUGAGGGAAAGGCGAAAAGAACCCCGGCGAGGGGAGUGAAAAAGAACCUGAAACCGUGUACGUACAAGCAGUGGGAGCACAGAGCAAUCUGUGUGACUGCGUACCUUUUGUAUAAUGGGUCAGCGACUUAUAUUCUGUAGCAAGGUUAACCGAAUAGGGGAGCCGAAGGGAAACCGAGUCUUAACUGGGCGUUAAGUUGCAGGGUAUAGACCCGAAACCCGGUGAUCUAGCCAUGGGCAGGUUGAAGGUUGGGUAACACUAACUGGAGGACCGAACCGACUAAUGUUGAAAAAUUAGCGGAUGACUUGUGGCUGGGGGUGAAAGGCCAAUCAAACCGGGAGAUAGCUGGUUCUCCCCGAAAGCUAUUUAGGUAGCGCCUCGUGAAUUCAUCUCCGGGGGUAGAGCACUGUUUCGGCAAGGGGGUCAUCCCGACUUACCAACCCGAUGCAAACUGCGAAUACCGGAGAAUGUUAUCACGGGAGACACACGGCGGGUGCUAACGUCCGUCGUGAAGAGGGAAACAACCCAGACCGCCAGCUAAGGUCCCAAAGUCAUGGUUAAGUGGGAAACGAUGUGGGAAGGCCCAGACAGCCAGGAUGUUGGCUUAGAAGCAGCCAUCAUUUAAAGAAAGCGUAAUAGCUCACUGGUCGAGUCGGCCUGCGCGGAAGAUGUAACGGGGCUAAACCAUGCACCGAAGCUGCGGCAGCGACGCUUAUGCGUUGUUGGGUAGGGGAGCGUUCUGUAAGCCUGCGAAGGUGUGCUGUGAGGCAUGCUGGAGGUAUCAGAAGUGCGAAUGCUGACAUAAGUAACGAUAAAGCGGGUGAAAAGCCCGCUCGCCGGAAGACCAAGGGUUCCUGUCCAACGUUAAUCGGGGCAGGGUGAGUCGACCCCUAAGGCGAGGCCGAAAGGCGUAGUCGAUGGGAAACAGGUUAAUAUUCCUGUACUUGGUGUUACUGCGAAGGGGGGACGGAGAAGGCUAUGUUGGCCGGGCGACGGUUGUCCCGGUUUAAGCGUGUAGGCUGGUUUUCCAGGCAAAUCCGGAAAAUCAAGGCUGAGGCGUGAUGACGAGGCACUACGGUGCUGAAGCAACAAAUGCCCUGCUUCCAGGAAAAGCCUCUAAGCAUCAGGUAACAUCAAAUCGUACCCCAAACCGACACAGGUGGUCAGGUAGAGAAUACCAAGGCGCUUGAGAGAACUCGGGUGAAGGAACUAGGCAAAAUGGUGCCGUAACUUCGGGAGAAGGCACGCUGAUAUGUAGGUGAAGCGACUUGCUCGUGGAGCUGAAAUCAGUCGAAGAUACCAGCUGGCUGCAACUGUUUAUUAAAAACACAGCACUGUGCAAACACGAAAGUGGACGUAUACGGUGUGACGCCUGCCCGGUGCCGGAAGGUUAAUUGAUGGGGUCAGCGCAAGCGAAGCUCUUGAUCGAAGCCCCGGUAAACGGCGGCCGUAACUAUAACGGUCCUAAGGUAGCGAAAUUCCUUGUCGGGUAAGUUCCGACCUGCACGAAUGGCGUAAUGAUGGCCAGGCUGUCUCCACCCGAGACUCAGUGAAAUUGAACUCGCUGUGAAGAUGCAGUGUACCCGCGGCAAGACGGAAAGACCCCGUGAACCUUUACUAUAGCUUGACACUGAACAUUGAGCCUUGAUGUGUAGGAUAGGUGGGAGGCUUUGAAGUGUGGACGCCAGUCUGCAUGGAGCCGACCUUGAAAUACCACCCUUUAAUGUUUGAUGUUCUAACGUUGACCCGUGAUCCGGGUUGCGGACAGUGUCUGGUGGGUAGUUUGACUGGGGCGGUCUCCUCCUAAAGAGUAACGGAGGAGCACGAAGGUUGGCUAAUCCUGGUCGGACAUCAGGAGGUUAGUGCAAUGGCAUAAGCCAGCUUGACUGCGAGCGUGACGGCGCGAGCAGGUGCGAAAGCAGGUCAUAGUGAUCCGGUGGUUCUGAAUGGAAGGGCCAUCGCUCAACGGAUAAAAGGUACUCCGGGGAUAACAGGCUGAUACCGCCCAAGAGUUCAUAUCGACGGCGGUGUUUGGCACCUCGAUGUCGGCUCAUCACAUCCUGGGGCUGAAGUAGGUCCCAAGGGUAUGGCUGUUCGCCAUUUAAAGUGGUACGCGAGCUGGGUUUAGAACGUCGUGAGACAGUUCGGUCCCUAUCUGCCGUGGGCGCUGGAGAACUGAGGGGGGCUGCUCCUAGUACGAGAGGACCGGAGUGGACGCAUCACUGGUGUUCGGGUUGUCAUGCCAAUGGCACUGCCCGGUAGCUAAAUGCGGAAGAGAUAAGUGCUGAAAGCAUCUAAGCACGAAACUUGCCCCGAGAUGAGUUCUCCCUGACUCCUUGAGAGUCCUGAAGGAACGUUGAAGACGACGACGUUGAUAGGCCGGGUGUGUAAGCGCAGCGAUGCGUUGAGCUAACCGGUACUAAUGAACCGUGAGGCUUAACCUUACAACGCCGAAGGUGUUU